ensembl:lncRNA
AUGGAUUUCUCUGAGAACUAUGCUUGCAAGCUCCACACCGAGAUUCAAGCUUUCCAUUUUGGUGGAAGUCGUAAACAUGCCACAAAUCACACCAGUGUGGUCCUCACAUCAGAUGGGAGUCAAUCAUAUGCCACUAUUUCAGACAGCCUACGUCAUGAUGAAAGAGCUGUGUGGGUACACAUUGAGCCAAUUUUAAAGAAGUUGAAGGAGCAGAAGCCCAUUCAUACAAGCAUCCACUUCAUGAGUGACGGGCCUGUUACCCAGUAUAGAAAUAAGCGCAACUUCUAUCUCCUGACCACACUACCGUUUAUUUUGGGGUUCAAGGAGGUGACCUGGAAUUUCUCUGAGAAAGCCCAUGGUAAGGGUGCACCAGAUGGCGUGGGUGGCGCUGUAAAACGCACGGCUGAUCAGAGGGUGAAAAUGGGAGCAGAUAUUCAGACACCAAAAGAGCUCUAUGAAGCUUUACAGAGCACAACCUCUGCAAUCAAGUACUUUUGGGUGUCAGAAGAGGACAUCCUAAAACAUGAUGAAGCUGUACCGGAGAAGCUGCCUGUUGUGAAGGGCACAAUGAAAAUUCAGAUUGUGUCUCUUACCCCUGGACCGUUUAGGCACAGAGAGCUGUCCUGCUUCUGCAGCCGAGGGAAGGGUAUCUACUGUGACUGCUUCAGUCCCAAUGAAGUGGACAUGAAUUGCAUAGAUGUGUGUGAAUUACCCACCAAUGCUCCAGCAACAACACCACAUCUUACUAUGACACAAGAUAUAGUUGGAAGGUUUGUGAUUGUUAAAUAUGAUGCCCAGCCAUUUGUAGGCCAAGUCCUGAGUGUGAUGGGUGAUGAUGAACUUGAAGUGAGCUGCAUGCGACAGACAAUGGGCAGAAACACCUUUGUGUGUCCAACCACCCCAGAUGUAAUAUUUUAUUACAUAUCUGAUAUGCAAGCCAUCCUUUCGGAGCCUGAGCCAUUAACAAACCGCUCGUCACAACUAUGUAUCCCAGACUGGGAGAAAUUCCAAAACAUGUGGUAG